rnacentral:rRNA from 1 species
AGAGUUUGAUCCUGGCUCAGAACGAACGCUGGCGGCAGGCUUAACACAUGCAAGUUGAACGAGAGUGUUAGAUAGCUUGCUAUUUAGCAUGAAAGUAGCGCACUGGUGAGUAACACGUGGGAACGUACCUAUAGGUGGGGGAUAACGUUUGGAAACGAACGCUAAUACCGCAUACGCCCUGAGGGGGAAAGAUUUAUUGCCGAUAGAUCGGCCCGCGGAAGAUUAGGUAGUUGGUGGGGUAAAGGCCUACCAAGCCGACGAUCUAUAGCUGGUCUGAGAGGACGAUCAGCCACAUUGGAACUGAGACACGGUCCAGACUCCUACGGGAGGCAGCAGUGAGGAAUAUUGGGCAAUGGAGGCAACUCUGACCCAGCCAUGCCGCGUGAGUGAAGAAGGUUUUCGGAUUGUAAAGCUCUUUCGCACGGGACGAUGAUGACGGUACCGUGAUAAGAAGCCCCGGCUAACUUCGUGCCAGCAGCCGCGGUAAUACGAAGGGGGCAAGCGUUGUUCGGAAUUACUGGGCGUAAAGGGAGUGUAGGCGGUUAUGUAAGAUAGCGGUGAAAUGCCGGGGCUCAACCUCGGAAUUGCCGUUAUAACUAUGUAACUAGAAUGAUAGAGAGGAUAGCGGAAUACCCAGUGUAGAGGUGAAAUUCGUAGAUAUUGGGUAGAACACCGGUGGCGAAGGCGGCUAUCUGGCUAUAAAUUGACGCUGAGGCUCGAAAGCAUGGGGAUCAAACAGGAUUAGAUACCCUGGUAGUCCAUGCUGUAAACGAUGAAUGCUGGUUGUCGGACUGAUGUUCGGUGACGAAGUUAACGCGAUAAGCAUUCCGCCUGGGGAGUACGGUCGCAAGAUUAAAACUCAAAGGAAUUGACGGGGACCCGCACAAGCGGUGGAGCAUGUGGUUUAAUUCGAUGCAACGCGAAGAACCUUACCAACUCUUGACAUCCUUAUCGGGGGGCACAGAGAUGAGCCCUUUCAGUUAGGCUGGAUAAGUGACAGAUGCUGCAUGGCUGUCGUCAGCUCGUGUCGUGAGAUGUUUGGUUAAGUCCAAUAACGAGCGCAACCCUUUUCCUAAGUUGCUAACAUUAAGUUGAGAACUCUUAGGAUACUGCCAGUGCAAACUGGAGGAAGGUGGGGAUGAGGUCAAAUCAUCAUGCCCCUUACAUCUAGGGCUACAGGCGUGCUACAAUGGCCGAUACAAAGAGUUGCAACACAGUGAUGUGAAGCUAAUCUCGAAAGUCGGUCCCAGUCCGGAUUGGAGUCUGCAACUCGACUCCAUGAAGUUGGAAUCGCUAGUAAUCCCGAAUCAGAAUGUCGGGGUGAAUACGUUCCCGGGUGUUGCACUCACCGCCCGUCA